rnacentral:tRNA from 2 species
GGGUGUUAGCUCAGCAGGUAGAGCAACUGACUCUUAAUCAGUGGGUCUAGGGUUCGAUUCCCU